ACGGUUCACUUCAGCUUCACACUCAUGCCUGCUCGGAGAUAAUUAAUAAAACCUUCCAGCUUUCUGAAUUGUGAAAGUGCAUACUCUCCUGCCAGUGGAAAUUUCCGAUUGUUACACAGUCUCACCCCAGAGAUGGACUUGCUUUACCUUCAUGAGAUCCAUAUUUCUGCGGGUCAUUGAGUACAAAAGAACUGGCCUGGAUCUAUCCAUUACUCUAAGCAGUGAAGCCUGGUGAGCAGAGGAGACUGAAGAUGGAGAGAGAGCCUGGACCUCAACAUGAGCAUUUGGAGCCAUUUGGCAGCAUUAGGCUGUGACCGCUUGGAGAACCGAAAGGGGCAGUGCUUUAAAGGAUUAUGGAGUCUGAAGACCAAAUGGGAUAAUGGAGAACAGCUAUCCAGUGGUACAAAUGUAAAUGCUCCCAGGACCGGGCAGGUAAUUUCAGUGAGUGAAGCAGGGCAAAGUGUAAUUGUGUAAGUAGACAUUUGCUGACUCCACAUACCACUAGGGAACUAUACUUUCCCCUGGCAGAAAGACAGGCAGCUCCAGCCUAUUAUUGCGUAUGGGAAGGCUAAUGCAAAGUGAGGGGCUACUCUAACUUUUCAGGAGAAUCCAGCAGUCUCG
rnacentral:lncRNA from 1 species